UGGCUCACAACUACCUCCGCCUCCCCAGGCUUAAGCAAUCCUCCCACCUCAGCCUCCCAAGUAGCUGAAACUACAGGUGUGCGCCAUCACCCCCAGUAAAAGAGUAAGAUAAAGAACUACCCGUAAAUAUGUAUUAAGAGAUUGUUAUGGACUGAAUGUUUGUGUCCCCUCGAAAUUCAUAUGCUGUAGCCCUAACCUCCAAUGUGAUGGUAUUUGAAGGUGGGGCCUUUGAGAAGUACUUAGGUUUAGAUCAGGCCAUGAUAGUGGACGCCUUGCAGUGGAUUAGUUUCCUUAUAAGAGGAGGGACAGAGAGCUCUGUCUUUAUGAGCACACACCAAAGAAAGGCCAUGUGACCAUACAGUGAGAUGUCAGCUGUCUGCAAGCCAAGAAGACGGCCCCACCAGAACCUCACCAUGUUGGCACCCUGAUUUCAGACUUCCAGCCUCCAGAAUGGUGAGAAAAUAACAGCCUGUUGUUUAAGCCACCCAGUCUAUGAUACAUUCUUAAAGCAGCCUGAGGUGACUAA
rnacentral:lncRNA from 1 species